UACGUAGGGUGCAAGCGUUGUCCGGAAUUAUUGGGCGUAAAGAGCUCGUAGGCGGUCUGUCGCGUCUGCUGUGAAAACUCAGGGCUUAACCCUGAGCUUGCAGUGGGUACGGGCAGACUAGAGUGCGGUAGGGGAGACUGGAAUUCCUGGUGUAGCGGUGAAAUGCGCAGAUAUCAGGAGGGAACACCGGUGGGCGAAGGCGGGUCUCUUGGGCCGUAACUGACGCUGGAGGAG
rnacentral:rRNA from 1 species